AACGCUGUGACGUAGGGGGAUUGGACUUCCGCACAGGAAUGUGACCGGGACAGGAGCAGGAGAUUGGAUGGUGUGCCUCAGCCAGUCAGUUCAAGGCCACGCGAACAAGCGUGAGGUCUCCUGGGGAUGGAGAAAUUUGGCCUCAAGAUGGUAACAUCAACUUCUUCCAGGAGGUGCAGCCUGUAGAUUCUGAACUUGUCAGACCCCGCAACCACAGGAGGCAGUGCCUUAAAAUAAAUCUCUCAACCGUGUGCCUGUGUACACCGCUGGCUCCAUUUCUCUGGAGAACCCUGGUACUCUGCCGUAGGAACUACUGAAAUACCUGUUUGUGUCAAAUGCUGGGCUGGCUGGGAGGUUUUGUUGUUGCAAAAGGGAGCCAGCUCCAUUCACGACAUCUCAGAGCUGUGAAUCAGCCAAGCGCGGGCUGCAGUACUCACACAGAACUCCAGGUGGCGCCCCUGCACUACUCAAAAGAGGCUUCCUUGCUGCAGGCCUCACCUCACAGGCUUUUAAACUCAGAUUUCAAGACAACCCGAUGACUCAGCAACGCCAAAGGGAAGCAUAACAUUUGGACAGAGGAUACUGCCUCCAUGCCCAGAGUUCACAAGCUUGCCACCACAAAAAUCACUUUUUCCAUGUGUUCUUUCUUGGAAGUCGCAUCUCUUUGGUAGGCGUUAGCAUGAUCUGAGCCAAUAGCUACUUGGGCAAUCUCAUUUUCUCCCCCCAACUCCCCGCCUCCCCCCAUGAAUAGGACACCCCGGGGUUAAUAGAAAAGGAGGAGGUUAGCAUUGUGGUUGAAGGUUGACGGGCCAAUGUGUCUUGCUUUCCAUCUGCAGCAGAAAAGAGGUCACCGGCUCAUUGUUCUAGGUUUUUCUUUCUUUUCAAGCCUCCAGGGAUGUGAGCCACUCUGGCCCAAGGACACAGCACGCCCCGGGUGUUUGUGCCCAUAGGGCAUGACUCACCCCGACCCCAGGAUGUCAGCUCCCUGCAGUGCUGGCCGGACAGACUCGAUGCCUGCUGGGCAAACCCCUCUGUUAAUCCUGCCGGUGGCCAGGACCCUACCCUGUCAUUAGGCUGUGUCCUUGACCACAAGCCCAAAGCAUUUGGCGGCAUGGGCUUGUUGAAGCCUUGUAAUGUUUUGUAAGAAAAUUUGAGAUGCCUUUACUUUUUAAAUUUCAGCGCUGGCUAUGGGCAGCAGAACCAGCUUUGUGGAGUGACCCUGGGAAGGUCUCCCAGGGAUUCAGAGUCAGAAUUGUGGGCCUGGACCUGCCAUCGGGGUGCUGACGUGCCUAAAUCUCUGCCCCGAGGCUCUCCCUCCCCAGCCUGCCGCCCCCACCAUCACUCAUCCUGUCCUGGUACAUAAGGCAUUCGUCUGGCUCUUUUCUAAAGGACGCGCAUUCGCACACGGACACAAAUCCACGUCUGUGUUUCUGCGGUUUCAAGCAAUGUGUCUCUGAUGUGCUCCUGGUCUAACCCAAGAGGAAGUGGAAGCAUCACCUACCAUUUAUAUUAGAACCUGGCUUUAAAAAAUAUAUAUUUUUAUUGAUUUCAGAGAGGAAGGGGGGGUGGGGGAGAGAGAGAGAGAGAGAGAGGGAGAG